CUUUAUGAGAGUUUGAUUCUGGCUCAGAACGAACGCUGGCAGCGUGGAUUAGGCAUGCAAGUCGUACGGGGAGGCCGCGGAUAGCAAUAUUUGGGGUUCUUCCAGUGGCGGAAGGGCGAGUAAUGCCUGGACAACCUGCCCCUUUGCUGGGAAUAACGCGGGGAAACCCGUGCUAAUGCCGAAUGAGACACCGCAGGGCAUCCUGCGAAUGUCAAAGGCGGGGACCGCAAGGCCUGCCGCAGAGGGAGGGAUCCGGGUACCAUCAGCUAGUCGGUGGGGUAACGGCCCACCGAGGCGACGACGGUUAGCUGGUCUGAGAGGACGACCAGCCGCACUGGGACUGAGA
rnacentral:rRNA from 1 species